AUGUCUUCUAGCGGGAGCUCGCGUUCUAGAACUAGAAGUGGCCUUGUCAGGGGAAACAAUAUCAGGGAUCCCACCGACAAUUCAUCUGCUAGAACAAGAAGUCAGAUUGCCAGGGGAAACAGCAACAUGGAUCCCAACAAGCUGUCAUGUUCUAAAACACGAAGUGGGCUUGUUAGGGUAAACAAUAUUGUGGAUUCUAGUGAGGGUUCAUCUUCUAAAGCACAAAGUGGGCUUGUUAAGGUAAACAACACCGUGGAUUGCAAUAAUGGUCCUUCUUCUAGAACACGAAGUGGGCUUGUUAGGGCAAACAAUAUCGCGGAUUCCAGCAAGGGUUCGUACUCUACAACACAAAGUGGGCUUGUUGGAGCAAACAUUGCUAUGGAUUCCAAUGAUAGUUCAGGUUCUAAAGCACAAAGUGAACUUGUUAGAGGAAACAUUGAUGUGGAUUCCAAUGAUGGUUCAUGUUCUAAAACGCGAAGUGGGCUUGUUAGGGGAAACAUUGUUAUGGAUUCCUAUGAAGAUUCAUCUUCUAAAACGCGAAGUGGGCUUGUUAAAGGAAACUCUGCUAUGGAUACCCCCAAGGAUUCAUGUUUUAGAACACGAAGUGGGCGUGUUAGAAGACGCCCCGCUCAUAAGGUAGAAAGCAAGGAUGAACCAGUCAUUAAGGGGUCACCUGAUGAAUGUGAAGCAGACAGUCCAGGGAAAAAUAGAUCAAAUUGCAAGAGUGAUCUGGUGCAACUCAAGGAUAGCCCAGACGUUAAGGGGCCAGAUGGAAGUUGCAAAGAAGACAUACCAUUAAAGGAUCGAUUGAAUUACAAGAGUGAUCAGGUUCAGAGCAAGGAUGAACCAGUCAUGAAGGGGCCUGAUGGAUGGUGGAAAGAAGAAAGCUCCAGCAAGACUGGAUUAAGGCACACGACUGAUCUGGUCCAAAUCAAGGAUGGUCUACUCAGUAAGGGGCAGUUGCCUGAUGGAUGGCAAAAAGAAGUCAGGCCAAGAAAGGACGGAACUAAGAGUGAUCCAGUCCAAAUCAAGGAUGGGCUACUCAGUAAGGGGCAGUUGCCUGAUGGAUGGCGGAAAGAAGUCAGGCCAAGAAAGGACGGAACUAAGAGUGAUCCAUACUACACUGACCCAGUCAGUGGUUAUGAAUUUCGCUCUCUGAAGGACGUGCAACGUUAUAUUGAAUCAGGAGACAUAAGUAAAUGCAAUGUUAGGCCAAAGAAGAGAACUGCCCAGGGUGCUUGUAUUACACAGAAUCAAGAUUAUACAGGAACAUCAUCAGAAUACGCAAGACCAGGUACUGCUGAUAAGGCUAUUCAAUGUGAAUUACUAACUGAAGAAGGGAUCAGGCUACCGUGGGAAGAAAUGCUCAAGACAUAUACUCAAAAUACAAUGUUACCAGUGUCUGAAGUCAUGAAACUGAUGCAAAAAUAUGCGGACAAGGUUGAUCCCUCAGAACACAAGAGCGUGCAACCGGUCUCUCGACAGCAUGCUUCAAGGGGAAAGAGAUCUGUUCAAAGAAAAGAACCAAAUGCAGAGGUGAAAACCAAGAAGCGUAAAACCAUGUCUAAAGAAAAGGUCGCCACACCUCUCACUCCCAGAGUGUCACCCCGCUUAGUUGCACGGAAGGUUAAUCCUGAAGUUAACACUGAGCCUCAAGAUGAGCCGACCAUUGUAAAUCUUGCCAAUCAGGUAAAGCCUAUUCAAGAAAAAACUGCGGAUGUACGAAAAGUUAAUCCUGAAGGAAACACUGAGCCUGAAGAUGGACCUACCAGGGUAAGUCUUGUCAAUCAGGUACAGCUUAUUCAACAAAAAACUGUGGAUGUGAGCCAGGCAGGCACUGUCAUUCAAAUGCAAACCAAGCAUGGGAACACUGCCAAUCAGUUACAGUCGAGGCAAACAGAUGCUGCCGUUCCAGUACAGAUCAACGAGGGCACUGUCAAUCGGUCACAGCUGUGCCAACCAGACCCUGUCACCCAAAUCCAAGCUGAUACUGUCGUUCCAGUGCAGACCAAUCAUGUGGGCGCUGUCAGUCAGUUAUGGUUGAGCCAGGCAGCCACUGCCAAUCGAAUACAGACCAAUCAGGAGAGUACUGCCAGUCGGUUACAGUCGAACCAAGCAGAGAAUGCCAAUCACAUGCAUGGUAUGCAGAAAUACACUACCAACUACUCACAGCUGAGAAAAGCAGACACUACGCAUCAGAAACAGACUAAUCAGAAAAAUACUGCCAGUCAGUUAUGUUCGAGCCAAGAAAAGUCACCCUUUCAAAAGCAGACUGGACAGAAAUACGUUGCCAAUUACUCUCAGUUACCACAAAGCCAUGGAAGCACUGUGAAUCACAUGCAAACUAAUCAGCAACACACUGCCAAUCAGAAUCAGUUACAGUCAAGCCAGGCAGACACAGCCAACGUUUUACGAGCUACAAAGGAAUUCUUUGUGAAUCACUCACUGCUGAGGCAAGCAGGCGCUGUGAACCACAUGCAGAGUAACCAGGCGAACACCGGCAUUCGAUUACAAAUAGGUCAAGCCGACACUGUGAAGCAAAUGCAAACCGUGCAGGGAAAUAGCUCUGAUCGGUCACAGCUGGUCCAAGGUUUACCUGUUACUCAAACACAAACUAUUCAGGAAUACUUCACUAAGCACUCGCAGCCGAGCCCAGUAAAUACUGUGAAUCAAAUGCAGAUUAGCCAGGAAAACACCGCCAAUCAACUACGAUUCAGUCAAGCUAACUCUGUCAAUAAGGCACAAACUAUGCAGGAAAAUACCACCAGUCGAUCACAGCUGAUCCAGGGUUUGACUGUCAACCAAAUACAGGCUAUUCGGGAAAACAAUACCAGAUACUUGCAGCCACGUUAUGCUGAAAAUCCUAUCCAACAGUCUGGUUUCUCUUCGGCUCCUGAGUGGGGACAUGGAGCACCUGCCACAGGCUUCUGGAACAAUAAUGUUGAACAUCAGAAGUCGCCAGCUCCGAUGCAAAUAGACGCAGCACCUGUUGAAACCUCCUCGGCAAAUGUUGAACCCCAGUAUGCGCCUGCCCCAGAGCCUGUUUUGCCAACACAUACUGCGGUGCCUGGAGGUGCUGACCCAUCUGGGUUCGCCCUGCCAUCAUUUGGAAAUUCCUGGUCAGACCCAUGUAUCGAGUUUGCGUUCAAGACCCUCACAGGCGACAUCCCUGUUCUGGAUCCAACUGUCGCGGACUACUUUCCUCUGCAGCAAGACUUGAAUAAAGUCGCACCACCAGAUUACUCCGCUCCCUCCGUUGACGAUACUAGAAACCAUAGACAACAUGUCAACCAAGGCAGCCAGCACUCGGCCCCAAGGCCAUCAAAUGGGUUCUACAAUGGUGGCUGGUUCCCUCCCCAGUGA
rnacentral:rRNA from 1 species